GACAGAGGAUGCAAGCGUUAUCCGGAAUGAUUGGGCGUAAAGCGUCUGUAGGUGGCUUUUUAAGUCUGCCGUCAAAUCCCAGGGCUCAACCCUGGACAGGCGGUGGAAACUACCAAGCUGGAGUACGGUAGGGGCAGAGGGAAUUUCCGGUGGAGCGGUGAAAUGCGCAGAUAUCGGGAGGAACACCCGUGGCGAAGGCGGCACUCUGGGACGGUACUGACGCUGAGACGCGAAAGCGUGGGGAGCAAACAGG
rnacentral:rRNA from 1 species